rnacentral:tRNA from 1 species
GAGAGAUGGCUCAGUGGUUAGAGCACUGGCUGCUCUUCCAGAGGACCUGGGUUCAAUUCUCAGCACUCA